AUGGAUAUGGUCAACUUUUAUUGGUGUUUGGUUAAUUGCAAGCAAAAUUGUGAGCAUGUGUAUGUGUAGUAGGACCAAUCCUGCAAUUUACCAACUUUUGUUUUAUGAUGGUAAGCCUAUGACUGAUUUCUGUCUAUGCUUUUAACAGUUAAUCUAUAACUUAUAUUAAAUAUAACUUUACGUAUACAAUGAGCAUACUCUAGGUUUUGUGAAACUGAAUAAUGUCAUUGUGACUUAAUGGGCGCUGCACAAGGAAAAUUUAUUUUUAUUUCUAUUUUGACUGUGAUUGGGCAUGUGUUGUAAUGCUUGUAUGACUGUUUUUAAGACAAAUUAUUUUCCUCUUCUUUCUCUAUUAUGAUUCUUGGUUUUACACUUUUACUGCCUCUAUGCAAGUUAGCUUGAUUUGCA
rnacentral:misc_RNA from 1 species